UUGGAGGGCAAGUCUGGUGCCAGCAGCCGCGGUAAUCCCAGCUCCAAUAGCGUAUAUUAAAGUUGUUGCAGUUAAAAAGCUCGUAGUUGAAUUUCGGGGUUAGUAGGUUGGUCGUGCCACUGGUAUGUACUGGUCUCACUGAUUCCUCCUUCCUGAUGAGCCGUAAUGCCAUUAAUUUGGUGUUGCGAGGAAUCUGGACUGUUACUUUGAAAAAAUUAGGGUGUUUAAAGCAAGCUAACGCUUGAAUACAUUAGCAUGGAAUAAUGAAAUAGGACGUUCGAUCCUAUUUUGUUGGUUUCUAGGAUUGACGUAAUGAUUAAUAGGGAUAGUUGGGGGCAUUAGUAUUCAAUUGUCAGAGGUGAAAUUCUUGGAUUUAUUGAAGACUAACUACUGCGAAAGCAUUUGCCAAGGAUGUUUUCAUUAAUCAAGAACGAAAGUUAGGGGAUCGAAGACGAUCAGAUACCGUCGUAGUCUUAACCAUAAACUAUGCCGACUAGGGAUCGGAUGAUGUUAAUUUUUUAAUGACUCAUUCGGCGCCUUACGGGAAACCAAAGUGUUUGGGUUC
rnacentral:rRNA from 1 species